UAUCUCUCUGUACAGGGAAGGAUGAGAAGCUUCGAUUAAGGUUCGACUCGAGCGGAAGCGAGAGAACGUUGCCAACGGCAACGGCCCGAAG
rnacentral:sRNA from 1 species